rnacentral:rRNA from 1 species
AUGCGAAAGCAGUUGAAGACAAGUUCGAAAAGAGUUUGGAAACGAAUUCGAGUAGGCUUGUCGUUCGUUAUGUUUUUUGUAAAUGGCCUCGUCAAACGGUGGAGAGAGUCGCUAGGUGAUCGUCAGAUCUGCCUAGUCUCUAUACAGCGUGUUUAAUUGACAUGGGUUGAUGCGUAUUGAGAGAUACAAUUUGGGAAGAAAUUCCCAGAGUGUGUUUCUUUUGCGUUUAGCCUGAACAGUCUCAUCGUGGGCAUCUUGCGAUUCCAUUGGUGAGCAGCGAAGGAUUUGGUGGAUUACUAGCUAAUAGCAAUCUAUUUCAAAGAAUUCAAACUUGGGGGAAUGCCUUGUUGAAUAGCCGGUCGCAAGACUGUGAUUCUUCAAGUGUAACCUCCUCUCAAAUCAGCGAUAUCAAACGUACCAUUCCGUGAAACACCGGGGUAUCUGUUUGGUGGAACCUGAUUAGAGGAAACUCAAAGAGUGCUAUGGUAUGGUGACGGAGUGCGCUGGUCAAGAGUGUAAAAGCUUUUUGAACAGAGAGCAUUUCCGGCAGCAGAGAGACCUGAAAAAGCAAUUUUUCUGGAAUUUCAGCUGUUUCCAAACUCAAUAAGUAUCUUCUAGCAAGAGGGAAUAGGUGGGAAAAAAAAAGAGAUUUCGGUUUCCUUUUUUACUGCUUGUUGCUUCUUCUUUUAAGAUAGU